rnacentral:rRNA from 1 species
UACGUAGGGUGCAAGCGUUAAUCGGAAUUACUGGGCGUAAAGCGCACGUAGGCGGAUCGUUAAGUCAGGGGUGAAAUCCUGGGGCUCAACCCCAGAACUGCCUUUGAUACUGGCGAUCUCGAGUCCGGAAGAGGUGAGUGGAACUCCUAGUGUAGAGGUGGAAUUCGUAGAUAUUAGGAAGAACACCAGUGGCGAAGGCGGCUCACUGGUCCGGUACUGACGCUGAGGUGCGAAAGCGUGGGGAGCAAACAGG